rnacentral:rRNA from 1 species
GUAGCGUAUAUUAAAGUUGUUGCAGUUAAAAAGCUCGUAGUUGGAUUUCUGGCAAACCGGGGCGGCCCGUGCUCUUAAUGGGUGCUGUGUGCCGUGUCGUGUUUGUCAUCCUUCCAGAGAGCUACGUCUACCAUUCACUUGGCCGGACGUACGUGAUCUGGAUCGAUUACUUUGAAAAAAUUAGAGUGUUUAAAGCAGGCUUAUGCUGUGAAUACAUUAGCAUGGAAUAAUAAUUUAGGACUUCGGUCCUAUUUUGUUGGUUUCUAGGACAGAAGUAAUGAUUGAUAGGGACAGUUGGGGGUGCUAGUAUUCCGCGGCCAGAGGUGAAAUUCUUGGAUUCGCGGAAGACUAACUACUG